CCGGCUAACUACGUGCCAGCAGCCGCGGUAAUACGUAGGGUGCAAGCGUUAAUCGGAAUUACUGGGCGUAAAGCGUGCGCAGGCGGUUAUGUAAGACAGGUGUGAAAUCCCCGGGCUUAACCUGGGAAUGGCAUUUGUGACUGCAUAGCUAGAGUGUGUCAGAGGGGGGUAGAAUUCCACGUGUAGCAGUGAAAUGCGUAGAGAUGUGGAGGAAUACCGAUGGCGAAGGCAGCCCCCUGGGAUAACACUGACGCUCAUGCACGAAAGCGUGGGGAGCAAACAGGAUUAGAUACCCUGGUAGUCCACGCCCUAAACGAUGUCUACUAGUUGUCGGGUCUUAAUUGACUUGGUAACGCAGCUAACGCGUGAAGUAGACCGCCUGGGGAGUACGGUCGCAAGAUUAAAACUCAAAGGAAUUGACGGGGACCCGCACAAGCGGUGGAUGAUGUGGAUUAAUUCGAUGCAACGCGAAAAACCUUACCUACCCUUGACAUGUACAGAAUCCCGAAGAGAUUUGGGAGUGUUCGAAAGAAAACUGUAACACAGGUGCUGCAUGGCUGUCGUCAGCUCGUGUCGUGAGAUGUUGGGUUAAGUCCCGCAACGAGCGCAACCCUUGUCAUUAGUUGCUACGAAAGGGCACUCUAAUGAGACUGCCGGUGACAAACCGGAGGAAGGUGGGGAUGACGUCAAGUCCUCAUGGCCCUUAUGGGUAGGGCUUCACACGUCAUACAAUGGUACAUACAGAGGGCCGCCAACCCGCGAGGGGGAGCUAAUCCCAGAAAGUGUAUCGUAGUCCGGAUUGUAGUCUGCAACUCGACUACAUGAAGUUGGAAUCGCUAGUAAUCGCGGAUCAGCAUGUCGCGGUGAAUACGUUCCCGGGUCUUGUACACACCGCCCGUCACACCAUGGGAGCGGGUUUUACCAGAAGUAGGUAGCCUAACCGUAAGGAGG
rnacentral:rRNA from 1 species